rnacentral:rRNA from 1 species
UACGUAGGGGGCAAGCGUUGUCCGGAUUUAUUGGGCGUAAAGAGCGUGUAGGCGGCUAUACAGGUCCGCUGUGAAAACUCGAGGCUCAACUUCGAGCUGUCGGUGGAAACUUUCUGGCUAGAGUCCGGAAGAGGAGAAUGGAAUUCCUGGUGUAGCGGUGAAAUGCGCAGAUAUCAGGAAGAACACCAAUGGCGAAAGCAGCUCUCUGGGACGGUACUGACGCUGAGACGCGAAAGCGUGGGGAGCGAACAGG